rnacentral:rRNA from 1 species
GUCCAUGCCGUAAACGUUGGGAACUAGGUGUGGGUCUCAUUCCACGAGAUCCGUGCCGCAGCUAACGCAUUAAGUUCCCCGCCUGGGGAGUACGGCCGCAAGGCUAAAACUCAAAGGAAUUGACGGGGGCCCCGCACAAGCGGCGGAGCAUGCGGAUUAAUUCGAUGCAACGCGAAGAACCUUACCAAGGCUUGACAUAUACCGGAAACAUUCAGAGAUGGAUGCCCCGCAAGGUCGGUAUACAGGUGGUGCAUGGUUGUCGU